rnacentral:rRNA from 1 species
UGGGGAAUAUUGGACAAUGGGCGAAAGCCUGAUCCAGCCAUGCCGCGUGUGUGAAGAAGGUCUUCGGAUUGUAAAGCACUUUAAGUUGGGAGGAAGGGCAUUAACCUAAUACGUUAGUGUUUUGACGUUACCGACAGAAUAAGCACCGGCUAACUCUGUGCCAGCAGCCGCGGUAAUACAAAGGGUGCAAGAGUUAAUCGGAAUUACUGGGCGUAAAGCGCGCGUAGGUGGUUUGUUAAGUUGGAUGUGAAAUCCCCGGGCUCAACCUGGGAACUGCAUUCAAAACUGACUGACUAGAGUAUGGUAGAGGGUGGUGGAAUUUCCUGUGUAGCGGUGAAAUGCGUAGAUAUAGGAAGGAACACCAGUGGCGAAGGCGACCACCUGGACUAAUACUGACACUGAGGUGCGAAAGCGUGGGGAGCAAACA